CGCGUAGGCGGCCUGUGCAAGUCAGUUGUGAAAUCUCCGGGCUUAACUCGGAAAGGUCAACUGAUACUGCUCGGCUAGAGUGCAGAAGGGGCAACUGGAAUUCUUGGUGUAGCGGUGAAAUGCGUAGAUAUCAAGAGGAACACCUGCGGCGAAGGCGGGUUGCUGGGCUGACACUGACGCUGAAGUGCGAAAGCUAGGGGAGCGAACG
rnacentral:rRNA from 1 species